CCUGGUUGAUCCUGCCAGUAGUCAUAUGCUUGUCUCAAAGAUUAAGCCAUGCAAGUCUAAGUACGAGCUCUCGUACAGUGAAACUGCGAAUGGCUCAUUAAAUCAGUUAUGGUUCAUUUGAUCGUACAGUUUACUUGGAUAACUGUGGUAAUUCUAGAGCUAAUACAUGCGAGAAGCGCCGACCUCGCGGGAGGCGUGCAUUUAUCAGACCAAAAACCGGCCGCGUCUUCGGGCGCGUUCGCCUUGGUGACUCUGGAUAACUUUGCGGAUCGCACGGUCUAGCACCGGCGACGGAUCAUUCAAGUGUCUGCCCUAUCAACUUUCGUCGGUACCGUAUUUGCCUACCGAGGUUCUUACGGGUGACGGGGAAUCAGGGUUCGAUUCCGGAGAGGGAGCCUGAGAAACGGCUACCACAUCCAAGGAAGGCAGCAGGCGCGCAAAUUACCCAUUCCCGACGCGGGGAGGUAGUGACGAAAAAUAACAAUGCAGGACUCGUUCGAGGCCCUGUAAUUGGAAUGAGUACACUUUAAAAGCUUUAACGAGUAUCCAUUGGAGGGCAAGUCUGGUGCCAGCAGCCGCGGUAAUUCCAGCUCCAAAAGUAUAUAUUUAAGUUGUUGCGGUUAAAAAGCUCGUAGUUGGAUUUUGGGCGCAGGCGGCCGGUCCGUCGCAAGGCGUGUACUGGACGUCCUGGCCUUCCCUCCGGUUCUCCGCCGGUGCUCUUGACUGAGUGUCGGCGGCGGCCGGAACGUUUACUUUGAAAAAAUUAGAGUGUUCAAAGCAGGCUCUCGAGCCUGGAUAAUGGUGCAUGGAAUAAUGGAAUAGGACCUCGGUUCUAUUUUGUUGGUUUUCGGAGCGCGAGGUAAUGAUUAAGAGGGACAGACGGGGGCAUUCGUACUGUGCCGUUAGAGGUGAAAUUCUUGGAUCGGCGCAAGACGAACGACUGCGAAAGCAUUUGCCAAGAAUGUUUUCUUUAAUCAAGAGCGAAAGUCAGAGGU
rnacentral:rRNA from 1 species